rnacentral:sRNA from 2 species
UUAAAUGUUUUCUAGGGUUCCGCAAUUUAAAGUUGGCCUGGUCCGAGAGAAAACUCACAGCUUUGCUGUGUCACGGAAGGAUAAAAGCCUGGGAGAA